GACCAAUCAAAGGUCAGUCCAAUGAAAGGUAAGGGCUGUUGCUUUCUCACUGACACAGAGUCCAUGCCAGUCCAAUUGGAGUCCUGACCGCCUCUUGAAAUUGCCAUUCUAUAUGACAGAUCAUGUGAGAGGUGUCGGUGCAAAAGCAUUCACUAAACACAGGAGUUCUGAUUGGAUGAAGAUGACAAGACUAAACCUGUUCAUGAAUCAACUCUGCUGAAAGAAUAAUGGAUAUUGGACUCGGGGACAAGCCAUUAAAGAGAAUAUGAUGUCGACAUACUAACAAUUAUAAUGCAGACAAACAAGACAGAAAUGGAAAGAGGAAAUGUCUGAGGCAUGGUUAAAGAAGAGAAGCAGAUUCUAUCGCUGGAAAAUCUAACACAAAUUAAAGAUAAUGGGCAAAAGAAAGAGAGGGGGACGAGUCAUCUGUAAUGUUAAAUAAGUAGGCAAGUCAUGAACAGUGGAUAUACUUAUGGAAAUGGACCUCUACAAAUAGCUCAACCAAUGCCAAGAAUGUAGCAGGACAGAUCCCAAUCAUGCAACCCGUCUUCACAGGUAUUUAGGAAUAGCCUAAAUAACACUUGUAAAUAAACCAGAAGUGAUGUGUCUACCUGAUGUUGGAAAAAGGGAACAUUAUUGGUGAAGAUCUGGGCCUCAGUUCAAUAUCUAAUUAUUAUACAUGGCUUAAGUUUAAUGAAAUAACUUGGAGAUCUGGAAUGGAGUAAUAAUGUUGAAAACCGUGAGCAUGAAUGACUAAUAAAA